GGUCUAAUAGUGUAGAGGUUAUCACAUGGGAUUUUGACAGUGGUAUUUCCCAUAACCCAGGUUCGAGUCCUGGUUAGACCU